rnacentral:rRNA from 1 species
AAAAAGGUAAGCUACUAAGAGCGAAUGGUGGAUGCCUUGACUGGUAAAGGCGAUGAAGGACGUACUAGACUGCGAUAAGCUAUGGGGAGCUGUCAAGAAGCUUUAAUCCAUAGAUUUCCGAAUGGGGCAACCCAAUAUAUUAGAGAUAUAUAUUACCUAAAUGGAGCGAACGAGGGGAAUUGAAACAUCUUAGUACCCUUAGGAAAAGAAAUCAAAAGAGAUUACGUUAGUAGCGGCGAGCGAAAACGUAAGAGGGCAAACCUAGUGCUUGCACUGGGGGUUGUAGGACUGCAAUGUGCAAUAAUUACGGUAAGCAUAAUAUUCUGGAAAGGAUAGUCAAAGAGGGUGAUAGCCCCGUGUGCGAAACCAAGAUUUAGCUAGCAGUAUCCUGAGUAGGGCGAAACACGUGGAAUUUUGUCCGAAGCUGGGGAGACCACUCUCCAACCCUAAAUACUAAUACCAGAUCGAUAGCGAACAAGUACCGUGAGGGAAAGGUGAAAAGAACCGCGGUGAGCGGAGUGAAAUAGAACCUGAAACCAUUUGCUUACAAUCAUUCAGAGCACUAUUAUGAGUCCUUUUGAGGAAUUAUAAAAAAUAAGUUUAGACUUUAAAUUUUUCUUUCUAAAUUUAUCUAAGCUAAAAAGCAAAGCCAAAAUUCUUCAAAAGGAUUCAUAAGUGUGAUGGACUGCCUUUUGCAUAAUGAGCCUGCGAGUUGUGGUGUCUGGCAAGGUUAAGCAAACGCGAAGCCGUAGCGAAAGCGAGUCUUAAUAGGGCAUAUAGUCAGAUGCUGCAGACCCGAAACGAAGUGAUCUAUCCAUGAGCAGCUUGAAGCUAGUGUAAGAGCUAGUGGAGGAGCGAACCCAUAGGCGUUGAAAAGCCCCGGGAUGACUUGUGGAUAGGGGUGAAAGGCCAAUCAAACUUCGUGAUAGCUGGUUCUCUCCGAAAUAUAUUUAGGUAUAGCGUUAUGUCGUAAUUAGAGGGGGUAGAGCACUGAAUGGGCUAGGGCAUACACCAAUGUACCAAACCCUAUCAAACUCCGAAUACCUUUAAUGUAAUCAUAGCAGUCAGGCGGCGAGUGAUAAAAUCCGUCGUCAAGAGGGAAACAACCCAGACUAACAGCUAAGGUCCCUAAAUCUCAUUUAAGUGGAAAACGAUGUGAAGUUACUUAAACAACCAGGAGGUUGGCUUAGAAGCAGCCAUCCUUUAAAGAAAGCGUAAUAGCUCACUGGUCUAGUGAUUUUGCGCGGAAAAUAUAACGGGGCUAAAAUGAGUACCGAAGCUUUAGACUUGCACUUAAUUCUAGUUAUUUAAGAACAAAAAAAUAAAAAAAUUAACUUGUAUAAAUUCAAUAUCUUAUUUGAUGUCAAACUAUAAAGCAAAUAUAGAAAUUUUAUACAAUAUUCUUUGAUUUUAGUUGUAAACUUUAUCAACAUAAAAGUAAUUAGAAUUAAGUGCAAGUGGUAGGAGAGCGUUCUAUUUGCGUUGAAGGUAUACCGGUAAGGAGUGCUGGAGCGAAUAGAAGUGAGCAUGCAGGCAUGAGUAGCGAUAAAAUAUGUGAGAAUCAUAUUCGCCGUAAACCCAAGGUUUCCUACGCGAUGCUCGUCAUCGUAGGGUUAGUCGGGUCCUAAGCAAAGUCCGAAAGGGGUAUGCGAUGGCAAAUAGAUUAAUAUUUCUAUACCAACAUAAAUGUGCGAUGGAAGGACGCUUAGGGCUAGGGGGGCUAGCGGAUGGAAGUGCUAGUCUAAGGUUGUAGGAGCUUAUAUAGGCAAAUCCGUAUAAGAAUACUCCGAGAGCUGAAAGGCUCUUCAAAGUCUUCGGAUAGCGAGGAGAACCCCUGAUGCCGUCGAGCCAAGAAAAGUUUCUAAGUUUAGUUUAUGUUGCCCGUACCGUAAACCGACACAGGUGGGUGGGAUGAGUAUUCUAAGGCGCGUGGAAGAACUCUCUUUAAGGAACUCUGCAAAAUAGCACCGUAUCUUCGGUAUAAGGUGUGGUUAGCUUUGUAUUAGCAUUUACUGCGAAAGCAAAGAAACUUACAACAAAGAGUCCCUCCCGACUGUUUACCAAAAACACAGCACUCUGCUAACUCGCAAGAGGAUGUAUAGGGUGUGACGCCUGCCCGGUGCUCGAAGGUUAAUUGAUGGGGUUAGCAUUAGCGAAGCUCUUGAUCGAAGCCCGAGUAAACGGCGGCCGUAACUAUAACGGUCCUAAGGUAGCGAAAUUCCUUGUCGGUUAAAUACCGACCUGCAUGAAUGGCGUAACGAGAUGGGAGCUGUCUCAAAGAGGGAUCCAGUGAAAUUGUAGUGGAGGUGAAAAUUCCUCCUACCCGCGGCAAGACGGAAAGACCCCGUGGACCUUUACUAUAGCUUGACACUGCUGCUUGGAUAAGAAUGUGCAGGAUAGGUGGGAGGCUUUGAGUAAUAGACGCCAGUUUAUUAUGAGCCAUUGUUGAGAUACCACUCUUUCUUAUUUGGGUAGCUAACUAGCUUGAGUUAUCCUCAAGUAGGACAAUGUCUGGUGGGUAGUUUGACUGGGGCGGUCGCCUCCCAAAUAAUAACGGAGGCUUACAAAGGUUGGCUCAAAACGGUUGGAAAUCGUUUGCAGAGUAUAAAGGUAUAAGCCAGCUUAACUGCAAGACAUACAAGUCGAGCAGAGACGAAAGUCGGUCUUAGUGAUCCGGUGGUUCUGAGUGGAAGGGCCAUCGCUCAAAGGAUAAAAGGUACCCCGGGGAUAACAGGCUGAUCUCCCCCAAGAGCUCACAUCGACGGGGAGGUUUGGCACCUCGAUGUCGGCUCAUCGCAUCCUGGGGCUGGAGCAGGUCCCAAGGGUAUGGCUGUUCGCCAUUUAAAGCGGUACGCGAGCUGGGUUCAGAACGUCGUGAGACAGUUCGGUCCCUAUCUGCCGUGGGCGUAAGAAGAUUGAAGAGAUUUGACCCUAGUACGAGAGGACCGGGUUGAACAAACCACUGGUGUAGCUGUUGUUCUGCCAAGAGCAUCGCAGCGUAGCUAAGUUUGGAUAGGAUAAACGCUGAAAGCAUCUAAGCGUGAAGCCAACUCUAAGAUGAAUCUUCUCUUAGCUCUCUAGUAGACUACUAGUUUGAUAGGCUGGGUGUGUAAUGGAUGAAAGUCCUUUAGCUGACCAGUACUAAUAGAGCGUUUGGCUUACUUUAAUA